rnacentral:rRNA from 1 species
GAUGAACGCUGGCGGCGUGCCUAACACAUGCAAGUCGAACGGUAGCCUUGGAUUCGUCUGAGGUGAGAGUGGCAAACGGGUGAGUAACACGUAGGUGACCUACCCCAAAGAGGGGAAUAACUGCUGGAAACGGUAGCUAAUACCUCAUGUGCCUGGUGAUUCGGUUCACCAGGUAAAGCCGAAAGACGCUUUGGGAUGGACCUGCGGCCCAUCAGGUAGUUGGUAGGGUAAUGGCCUACCAAGCCGAUGACGGGUAGGGGGUGUGAGAGCGCGACCCCCCACACUGGCACUGCGACACGGGCCAGACUCCUACGGGUGGCUG